rnacentral:rRNA from 1 species
GACGAACGCUGGCGGCGUGCCUAAUACAUGCAAGUCGAACGCUGAAGAGAGGAGCUUACUCUUCUUGGAUGAGUUGCGAACGGGUGAGUAACGCGUAGGUAACCUGCCUUGUAGCGGGGGAUAACUAUUGGAAACGAUAGCUAAUACCGCAUAACAAUGGAUGACACAUGUCAUUUAUUUGAAAGGGGCAAUUGCUCCACUACAAGAUGGACCUGCGUUGUAUUAGCUAGUAGGUGAGGUAAUGGCUCACCUAGGCGACGAUACAUAGCCAACCUGAGAGGGUGAUCGGCCACACUGGGACUGAGACACGGCCCAGACUCCUACGGGAGGCAGCAGUAGGGAAUCUUCGGCAAUGGGGGCAACCCUGACCGAGCAACGCCGCGUGAGUGAAGAAGGUUUUCGGAUCGUAAAGUUCUGUUGUAAGUCAAGAACGGGUGUGAGAGUGGAAAGUUCACACUGUGACGGUAGCUUACCAGAAAGGGACGGCUAACUACGUG